GACGAACGCUGGCGGCGUGCUUAACACAUGCAAGUCGAACGGAAAGGCCUCUUUCGGGGGGUACUCGAGUGGCGAACGGGUGAGUAACACGUGAGUAACCUGCCCUUGACUUUGGGAUAACUUCAGGAAACUGGGGCUAAUACCGGAUAGGAGCUCCUGCUGCAUGGUGGGGGUUGGAAAGUUUCGGCGGUUGGGGAUGGACUCGCGGCUUAUCAGCUUGUUGGUGGGGUAGUGGCUUACCAAGGCUUUGACGGGUAGCCGGCCUGAGAGGGUGAGCGGCCACAUUGGGACUGAGGUACGGCCCAGACUCCUACGGGAGGCAGCAGUGGGGAAUAUUGCACAAUGGGUGGAAGCCUGAUGCAGCAACGCCGUGUGCGGGAUGACGGCCUUCGGGUUGUAAACCGCUUUCGCUCAUGACGAAGCUUUGUGUGACGGUAGUGGGUAAAGAAGCACCGGCUAACUACGUG
rnacentral:rRNA from 1 species